CAGAAUCCUUGGCCUGAAACCUUGCUCAUUUUGGAGCACCCGGAAUUAUGAAAGAUGCUACUGGAGUUGAUGUUCGGUGAUUUUGGGCGCGAGCCGUCGACCACUGUUCGCCAUUGCAGGCAUGACAAGGUAACUGACAGAGUGAGAAGU